rnacentral:rRNA from 1 species
GACGAACGCUGGCGGCGUGCUUAACACAUGCAAGUCGAACGGAAAGGCCCUGCUUUUGUGGGGUGCUCGAGUGGCGAACGGGUGAGUAACACGUGAGUAACCUGCCCUUGACUUUGGGAUAACUUCAGGAAACUGGGGCUAAUACCGGAUAGGAGCUCCUGCUGCAUGGUGGGGGUUGGAAAGGUUCGGCGGUUGGGGAUGGACUCGCGGCUUAUCAGCUUGUUAGUGGGGUAGGGGCUUACCAAGGCUUUGACGGGUAGCCGGCCUGAGAGGGUGACCGGCCACAUGGGGACUGAGGUACGGACCAGACUCCUACGGGAGGCAGCAGUGGGGAAUAUUGCACAAUGGGCGGAAGCCUGAUGCGACAACGCCGCGUGCGGGAUGACGGCCUUCGGGUUGUAAACCGAUUUCGCCUGUGACGAAGCGUGAGUGACGGUAAUGGGUAAAGAAGCACCGGCUAACUACGUG